UGGGGAAUAUUGCACAAUGGGGGAAACCCUGAUGCAGCAACGCCGCGUGAGUGAUGAAGGUUUUCGGAUCGUAAAACUCUGUCUUUGGGGACGAUAAUGACGGUACCCAAGGAGGAAGCCACGGCUAACUACGUGCCAGCAGCCGCGGUAAUACGAAGGGGGCAAGCGUUGUUCGGAAUUACUGGGCGUAAAGGGAGUGUAGGCGGUUUGAUAAGAUAGGGGUGAAAUCCCAGAGCUCAACUCUGGAAUUGCCUUUAUAACUAUCAGGCUUGAAUUAUAGAGAGGAUAGUGGAAUACCCAGUGUAGAGGUGAAAUUCGUAGAUAUUGGGUAGAACACCAGUGGCGAAGGCGACUAUCUGGCUAUAUAUUGACGCUGAGGCUCGAAAGCAUGGGGAGCAAACA
rnacentral:rRNA from 1 species